GAUGAACGCUAGCUACAGGCUUAACACAUGCAAGUCGAGGGGCAGCAUGGUCUUAGCUUGCUAAGGCUGAUGGCGACCGGCGCACGGGUGAGUAACACGUAUCCAACCUGCCGUCUACUCUUGGCCAGCCUUCUGAAAGGAAGAUUAAUACAAGAUGGCAUCAUGAGUCCGCAUGUUCACAUGAUUAAAGGUGUUCCGGUAGACGAUGGGGAUGCGUUCCAUUAGAUAGUAGGCGGGGUAACGGCCCACCUAGUCUUCGAUGGAUAGGGGUUCUGAGAGGAAGGUCCCCCACAUUGGAACUGAGACACGGUCCAA
rnacentral:rRNA from 1 species